rnacentral:sRNA from 2 species
GAGCAGAAUUUCUCAACUUCUACAAGAGCAGAGAAACUUUGUGAGAAACGGAGGAACCAAAAAUCGGGGCGAAUCUCGCGCAAUGUAACCGAGAGAGGCACCUUCCAGCCUUAGCCCGUCAGCUAACUUCGUAGGCAUUGGAAGGAGAACCC